AUGCCUAAUACAUGCAAGUCGAACGCACUGUUUACAGUGAGUGGCGAACGGGUGAGUAACACGUAGAUAACCAACCCAUUAGACGAGGAUAACCGAUGGAAACGUCGGCUAAUAUUGGAUAGGAUCUAGAGACAGAAGUUUUUAGGUUUAAAGUAGCUUUCGGGCCAUGCUUUUGGAUGGGACUGCGUCGCAUUAGCUAGUUGGUUGGGGUAAUGGCCUACCAAGGCAACGAUGCGUAGCUGGGCUGAGAGGCUGAACAGCCACACUGGGACUGAGACACGGCCCAGACUCCUACGGGAGGCAGCAGUAGGGAAUUUUCGGCAAUGGACGAAAGUCUGACCGAGCAAUGCCGCGUGAACGAAGAAGGUCUUCGGAUUGUAAAGUUCUGUUAUUUGGAAAGAAAGUGUGGACUAGGAAAUGAGUCUAUAUGGACGGUACCGAAUGAGGAAGCC
rnacentral:rRNA from 1 species